UCAGAAAUAAUUGGCAAGUACUUGCUUAUACACAUAUAAUAUUGCUACCCACCCAAUGGCUAGUAAGGGUUCCUUAAAUGCUAAUGCUAUGUUUGGUGGAGAAAAGGGGAGGAAGGGGAAUUGGAAAGUAAAAUAAGAGAGGGAGUGAAAAUAGAGAGUUAUUUUCUCUCCUUCAUAUGGAUGGAAGGGAAAGAAAUGUAAAGAAGUUGAUGGAAAAAUUUUUAAAAGUCACAGUUUUUACCGUAAUUGUUUUGGUGCAAGUUAUCAAUAAGGAUAAAUAAAUACAUCUAUACAUUUUUCUUUUCUUUCUCUCCAAUUUGG
rnacentral:misc_RNA from 1 species